rnacentral:tRNA from 1 species
GGGGCCGUAGCCCAAUUGGCAGCAGGCGCAUGGUUUAGGUCCAUGACAGUGCGGGUUCGAGUCCCGUCGGCCCCAC